AAGCUCACUUUGGCAGCACAUAUACUAAAAUUGGAAUGAUACAGAGAAGAUUAGCAUGGCUCCUGUGCAAGGAUGACAUGCAAAUUUGUGAAGUGUUCCACAUUUUU
rnacentral:snRNA from 1 species